rnacentral:rRNA from 1 species
ACACAUGCAGUCGAGCGGUAACAGGAAGGAAGCUUGCUUUCUUUGCUGACGAGCGGCGGACGGGUGAGUAAUGCCUGGGAAAUUGCCCUGAUGUGGGGGAUAACCAUUGGAAACGAUGGCUAAUACCGCAUGAUGCCUACGGGCCAAAGAGGGGGACCUUCGGGCCUCUCGCGUCAGGAUAUGCCCAGGUGGGAUUAGCUAGUUGGUGAGGUAAUGGCUCACCAAGGCGACGAUCCCUAGCUGGUCUAAGAGGAUGAUCAGCCACACUGGAACUGAGACACGGUCCAGACUCCUACGGGAGGCAGCAGUGGGGAAUAUUGCACAAUGGGCGCAAGCCUGAUGCAGCCAUGCCGCGUGUAUGAAGAAGGCCUUCGGGUUGUAAAGUACUUUCAGUCGUGAGGAAGGGGGUAUCGUUAAUAGCGGUAUUCUUUGACGUUAGCGACAGAAGAAGCACCGGCUAACUCCGUGCCAGCAGCCGCGGUAAUACGGAGGGUGCGAGCGUUAAUCGGAAUUACUGGGCGUAAAGCGCAUGCAGGUGGUUUGUUAAGUCAGAUGUGAAAGCCCGGGGCUCAACCUCGGAGUUGCAUUUGAAACUGGCAGGCUAGAGUACUGUAGAGGGGGGUAGAAUUUCAGGUGUAGCGGUGAAAUGCGUAGAGAUCUGAAGGAAUACCGGUGGCGAACGCGGCCCCCUGGACAGAUACUGACACUCAGAUGCGAAAGCGUGGGGAGCAAACAGGAUUAGAUACCCUGG